GACGAACGCUGGCGGCGUGCCUAAUACAUGCAAGUAGGACGCAGUUGCGAACGGGUGAGUAACGCGUAUGUAACUACCUAUGAGAGGGGGAUAACUAUUGGAAACGAUAGCUAAUACCGCCUACUAGUCGGUUUACCUGCGUUGUGUUAGCUAGUAGGUAGGGUAAAGGCCUACCUAGGCAAAGAUACAUAACCGACCUGAGAGGGUGAUGGGACACACUGGGACUGAGAAACGGCCCAGACGCCUAAGGGAGGCAGCAGUAGGGAAUCGUCGGCAAUGGGGGGAACCCUGACCGAGCAACGCCGCGGGAGUGAAGAAGGUUUUCGGAUCGUAAAGCUAUGUUGUUAAGGAAGCGGUACUUAACCAGAAAGGGACGGCUAACUACGUGCCAGCAGCCGCGGUAAUUC
rnacentral:rRNA from 1 species